GAGAAAGGUGGGACGUGCGUAGAAAUUUUAGGAGAGAAACUUUGGGGUGUGAGGAAGGUUCUGCACAAGGUGAAGGUCCAAAACCUUCCGAGAGAAAAAGAAAGAAAAGAGAGAAAAUUGGGCGCAGGGUUUUUGGUGUGUACCCUAGGGUUUCUACCUAGGGUUCGGGAAGUGAGAUUGGUGUGCCACGAGUGUCGUGAGUCCACCAAAUUUCAGGGAGAGAUCCAUCAGCCUCUCAAGCAAUUGUGCAGAUGAUCCGGAGUAUCUGAGAAGUCAGCACACAUCGAUCGAAGGAGUUCGAUCAACAUCUGCCAUCAAAAGGGUAAAAUCACGAACUAGCAUUCGUGAGGAGCUGAU
rnacentral:lncRNA from 1 species